GUCAUCAUGAAAAUAUAUAUAAUCACAGCGAUAGAGCAUGUCAGACAGAGUUAAGGUGACUUCGUCUUGAAUCAACUUCGCAAUGAAUUCUACUUGUUUGUGGGUUUUAUUGCUGUUGUGUGGCUUGACUUCAGCCGAGGUUGGUGAGAAUGCUGUUGAAAUACGUUCAUGCUUUCCUGAUACGUGUGAUCUUCUGAGAGAGUUCGGAUCCAUGGCAGAAAAACUCAAAAGUUAUGGAAACCAGGCUGCAGGACAGUUAAACCGGGUUGAAGAUGACUGAAACCAGGCUGAAGAUGACUGAAACCAGGCUGCAGGACAGUGAAACCGGGUUGAAGUGACUGAAACCAGGCUGAAGAUGACUGAAACCAGGCUGCAGGACAGUGAAACCAGUCUAGAGAUCCGUGAAACCAGUCUGAAGAUGAGUAAAACCAGGCUGCAGGACAGUGAAACCAGGCUAAAUGACAGUGAACACCAGAUUCUUGAUCUGAAGAGCAAAGGUAAGAGAGAACCAAGGUGAUCUUCAGUGCAGCGAUAGGAUGAAAUGGAGCUGUUGGACCGUACAACACAGACACAACUUUAGUCUACAGAACAGUGAUCACAAACAUCGGCAACGCCUACAAUGCAGCCACAGGUAACAUUCUGUUCAAUAGAUUUUUGCUGUUGAAUAUGAAUUCAUGACACGGUUUACACCAAGUAUCAAUUAAAGCAAUACAGCACAACAACAACAACAUCACAGUGACAGUUUUGUAAGUAUGAGUGUUUACAGUGUAGUUAUUUGUUUAACCAAAUUCUAUUAGUGCUGCAGAAAUUGAAAAUAAUAAAAUCUGAAAGGUUUUUUUAUGCUUGGAGUGUGUUUGUGUGUGUAUAUGUGAGUGUGUAUUUGUGUUUGUGUUCAUGAAUCUGCCUUGUGUGUCGCAAGAAUGCAGAAAUGUUUACACACCAAUGCAGAGCUGGCUCUGAGGCGUCCUUGUAAUGAAAAUAAGAUACUAAAGGAACACGAAUCUGAAUGCUUCAUCUUACCUCUAUCGUAACAUACAAAACACUAUACAGUCAUGUAUUAGUUUUUAAUAUGUAUAUAAAUAAAGUUAAGUUACAUGUCUCUUUAAUAAAUAUUAAAAAUAUUAAGAUGCUUCUAUUUUGAAGCACAGACAUCAAACUAUCCUCCUCUUGCAGAGAGCAGCACAGUUAGCAAACUUUGUAACUUUACAGGCAAUUCAUGUAACACUUAUAUUAAACAUGGGCAUGUAUUACCACGAGGCAAGUAUAAACAUGUAAUUCAUUCGACAUGACUUUUAUUCAACUACUACUACUACUAAUAAUAGCUUUCAGUGUUUCUCCUAGGUUUACAAUGGACACUUUACAUACGGAAACUACUGUAUCUUUCUGUGACAUGGCCCUUCCUACGGCGCUGGUGGUUGAGUUGUUAGGUUUGUUAGUUGUAAAAUAUUAUAUUAGGACAUCAUUGCCAGAGACACAACAGGUGUUUAAAUACAUUUAAGAUGUCAUGCGACAGAGGUCCUGGUCACGUGAAUUUUGAAUGAACUUAGUAAUCAGGACAGUCAUAUAUUUAUAAGCCAGGUGGCCAAAGGAUACAGCCCUGAUUCUGUCAAAAACGAUAGGCAGACGUGAAUUUGAGCCAAAACAAAGAGAGAAGUGGAGGUCAAUGUACAGAGGGGUGAUGGAAAGUGCCACCAAUGGCAUAAAGAAAAACAUGUUUUCAAAACACACACACACAGAGAUUUUCAUUUAAAAAGAAAACAUAGUAAGCCAACUGAUGGUGGCGACUCUAUGGAGACAUACAAACCAACUGAGCAAGGACACUUGAACCUCCCUAUAUAAACUUCCAGCCAAGCUGAUUGUCAUCAGUCAUCAGCUGCGAGACAACAUCACAGGUGCAGUCAAUUGCUCCUGAUGAGAAGGGUAACCAGUGACAAAGAUCCUUGGCAAUCUAUCCCUAGUCCUACAAUUCUACAUUUUAGUUAUCAGACGCUGUCAUACAAAGUGACAUAAAUCAGAGCAGACAAACAGCUAUAAGUCCAAUCGGACACACAGGUGCUGACAGGAAGUGCACAGAAUCAAAGCACAGCAUGGUCAGCUGCUCUUCAGAGUUCUAAUCAGCAUAAAAACCAUCCUAGAUAUAAUAAUCGUCAUCAUCUAACUGAUUCCUCUGAUUGUAUUCUCAUGCCCUUACUCCUUGUUGUUGUAUUACAAGUUAAGAUAAUACGUGUCAAAUGGAUGUUAGAAAUUAACACGUUCUCAUUAAACAACUAACAGUUAUUGUCUGCUUGCCUGAAUUGUACAAUAAACAUGUAUUUAUGCACCAAACCAAUAGUUUCAUAAUUCUCGGUCGUAUCUCUCAGGAAGAACCGAGUAUGUCUCCCUGGGUGAAAACAAUCCCGGACUCACCUUGUCACCUGUGGAGUCCCCCAAGGAUCAUUCCUCGGCACCACCCUGUUCAACCAUUACAUGCUACCCCUUGGCCAAGUCAUCAGCUGGCAUGGAAUUUCAUUCCAUUGCUAUGCUGAUGACACUCAGAUUUACUUAAAAACAAAUCAAACACCCUCUGCACCCCUGCCAUCAUCGACACCGUCCACCUGCCUGGAGGAGAUAGAGGCGUGGAUGAAGCAUAACUUCCUCAAAUUGGGACAGCUCCAAAACAGAAGCGAUUCUACUUUGCACCCCACACCAAAUCAGGUCAUUUCUCAUAACCAGCAUUACCUUUUCUGGCCAAGACAUCCCCCUUUUCUCCAACCAUCACCAAUCAUGGCAUCAAAAUGGACCCUCACCUGAACUUUGAAGGCCACGUUCAACAUCUGUGCAAAAGAUCAAUUUGGUCAUUUUGCUUUCACUGCCCUUGAAUCACAUGACUCUUCUCAUAUAGUGAAGGUGAGCUCCGUGAUGAACUUAGGAACAUUGUAUUGACAUUUCUCUGGGAUAUCAAAGAUUAACUGAUUGCCAGUAAGUGGAGAUAGUAAAUGGAGAUAAUAUUGUUUUCUUAUUGCAUAAUCAGCCUUGAUUCAAAAGGGGAUGUUAAAAAUUUACAAGUCACAACAAAAUAUCAGGCCAGCAGCCAGGGGGAUCAAAUCAGUCAGGAGUAGAUAACGGAGAGACUCAUUUUCUUUUAACUAACUUGAAGAUUUUUUUCCGACAUGCUCUGGUUUCUUUGCUAGCUACAUGUCAAAUAGAUGUUAGAAAUUAACAGGUUCUCUUAAAACCAGCCAGAGAGAUCUCAUCAGUCAAGAGGGAAGGUGACAAAUCCUUGAAUUAAAUUGGAAGAUGAACUUUG